rnacentral:rRNA from 1 species
AUUGAACGCUGGCGGCAUGCCUUACACAUGCAAGUCGAACGGCAGCACGGGAGCAAUCCUGGUGGCGAGUGGCGAACGGGUGAGUAAUAUAUCGGAACGUGCCCAGUAGUGGGGGAUAACUGCUCGAAAGAGCAGCUAAUACCGCAUACGACCUGAGGGUGAAAGGGGGGGAUCGCAAGACCUCUCGCUAUUGGAGCGGCCGAUAUCAGAUUAGCUAGUUGGUGGGGUAAAGGACUACCAAGGCAACGAUCUGUGGUUGGUCAGAGAGGACGACCACCAAAACUGGGACUGAAACACGGCCCGGACUCCUACGGGAGACAGCAGUGGGGAAUUUUGGCCAAUGGGCGCAAGCCUGAUCCAGCAAUGCCGCGUGCAGGAAGAAGGCCUUCGGGUUGUAAACUGCUUUUGUCAGGGAAGAAAUCCUCUAGGUUAAUACCCUUGGGGGGAUGACGGUACCUGAAGAAUAAGCACCGGCUGACUACGUGCCAGCCGCCGCCGUAACAC